GUUGUUAUAAGUGUUCCCGAUACGGGCACAUUGCCCGGCAAUGUCUCGCCCCCCGCAAGCCUAAAGGCAACGCCGCUGCUAAGGAGCUGGUCAGUCUUCCACCAUCACCACCUCAAGUUGAUCAAAUGGAGGUGAUUCAAGAGGAGGCGGUGGUGGUGGAAGAAACACCAAAAGUUGGCGUCAACGUUGAACAGCUUGCUGGGAUGGUGUCCAACGUUGACGUCAGCAAUGAUGACUCACAGCCGUCCAGCUACGAAGAAU